UACGAAGGGGGCGAGCGUUGUUCGGAUUUACUGGGCGUAAAGGGCGCGCAGGCGGCAGACCAAGUCAGGCGUGAAAGCCCCGGGCUUAACCUGGGAACUGCGUCUGGGACUGGUUUGCUAGAGAUCGGGAGAGGAGAGUGGAAUUCCCAGUGUAGAGGUGAAAUUCGUAGAUAUUGGGAAGAACACCGAUGGCGAAGGCAGCCCCCUGGGCUGAGAUUGACGCUCAGGCACGAAAGCGUGGGGAGCAAACAGG
rnacentral:rRNA from 1 species